CGCACAAGCGGAGGAACAUGUGGUUUAAUUCGAUGAUACGCGAGGAACCUUACCCGGGCUUGAAUUGCAGAGGUAUAUAGUUGAAAGAUUAUAGCCGCAAGGUCUCUGUGAAGGUGCUGCAUGGUUGUCGUCAGCUCGUGCCGUGAGGUGUCGGCUUAAGUGCCAUAACGAGCGCAACCCUUAUCAUUAGUUACUAACAGGUCAUGCUGAGGACUCUAGUGAGACUGCCGUCGUAAGAUGUGAGGAAGGUGGGGAUGACGUCAAAUCAGCACGGCCCUUACGUCCGGGGCUACACACGUGUUACAAUGGGGGGUACAGAGGGCAGCUACCGGGCGACCGGAUGCCAAUCCCAAAAACCUCUCUCAGUUCGGAUCGAAGUCUGCAACCCGACUUCGUGAAGCUGGAUUCGCUAGUAAUCGCGCAUCAGCCACGGCGCGGUGAAUACGUUCCCGGGCCUUGUACACACCGCCCGUCAAGCCAUGGGAGCUGGGGGUACCUGAAGUACGUAACCGCAAGGAGCGUCCUAGGGUAAACUGGUGACUGGGGCUAAGUCGUAACAAGGUAGCC
rnacentral:rRNA from 1 species